CCCUUAGAUGUUCUGGGCCGCACGCGCGCUACACUGACGAAAGCAACGAGCUUAUAACCUUGGCCGAAAGGUCUGGGUAAUCUCCAAACUUCGUCGUGAUGGGGAUAGAUUAUUGCAAUUAUUAAUCUUCAACGAGGAAUGCCUAGUAAGCGCAAGUCAUCAGCUUGCGUUGAUUACGUCCCUGCCCUUUGUACACACCGCCCGUCGCUCCUACCGAUUGAAUGGUCCGGUGAAGCGUUCGGACCGUGGCUUUCUGACGGUCCGCCGUCGGAUUGCCGUGGGAAGUUCGUUAAACCUUAUCAUUUAGAGGAAGGAGAAGUCGUANCA
rnacentral:rRNA from 1 species